UUUAUAGUAGUAAAGUUUUCUAAACUUUUGGUCAUUAUGAACUAUAAGU
rnacentral:tRNA from 1 species